rnacentral:rRNA from 1 species
AGAGUUUGAUCCUGGCUCAGGAUGAACGCUAGCGAUAGGCUUAACACAUGCAAGUCGAGGGGCAGCAUUAUUUUAGCUUGCUAAGAUAGAUGGCGACCGGCGCACGGGUGCGUAACGCGUAUGCAACCUGCCUGUAAUUAGGGAAUAACCCGGUGAAAGUCGGACUAAUACCCUAUAUUCUUCUUUCUCCGCAUGGAGGAGGACGGAAAGAUUUAUUGAUUACAGAUGGGCAUGCGUCCCAUUAGCUGGUUGGUAAGGUAACGGCUUACCAAGGCAACGAUGGGUAGGGGGACUGAGAGGUUGACCCCCCACACUGGUACUGAGACACGGACCAGACUCCUACGGGAGGCAGCAGUGAGGAAUAUUGGUCAAUGGGCGAGAGCCUGAACCAGCCAAGUCGCGUGAAGGACGACGGUUCUAUGGAUUGUAAACUUCUUUUGUAGAGGAAUAAUGGCAGCUACGCGUAGCUGAGAUGCAUGUACUCUACGAAUAAGUAUCGGCUAACUCCGUGCCAGCAGCCGCGGUAAUACGGAGGAUACGAGCGUUAUCCGGAAUUAUUGGGUUUAAAGGGUGCGUAGGUGGCGUAUUAAGUCAGUGGUGAAAAGCUGCAGCUCAACUGUAGUCUUGCCGUUGAAACUGAUAUGCUAGAGAGGAGACGAGGUAUGCGGAAUGUGUGGUGUAGCGGUGAAAUGCAUAGAUAUCACACAGAACGCCGAUUGCGAAGGCAGCGUACCAGGCUCCGUCUGACACUGAAGCACGAAAGCGUGGGUAUCAAACAGGAUUAGAUACCCUGGUAGUCCACGCAGUAAACGAUGAAUACUAGAUUUUUGCGAUAUACUGUAAGAGUCUAAGCGAAAGCGAUAAGUAUUCCACCUGGGGAGUACGCCGGCAACGGUGAAACUCAAAGGAAUUGACGGGGGCCCG